AUGGAGCGGGGAGGCUCACUUCGUGUGGCAGCGCUCGAUGCAGGGAAACCCGGAGGCACAGGGCGGCACUCCGGCAGUGGCUCGACGCGGGGCUGUUUGUGGCGGAUCGACCCACAAGCAGCAGGGCGAGUCCGUGGUGACCCGGCAACAGCUCGAGCAGUGGUGAACCGGCGACGGCGAUUCAUGGAGGAGUGCGGCUGA
rnacentral:rRNA from 1 species